CCGCAGGCGGGCCUCGCGGGUCCGGGAGCGCGGCGGAGACGAUGCCUGAGAUCAGAGUCACGCCCUUGGGGGCCGGCCAGGACGUGGGCCGAAGCUGCAUCCUGGUCUCCAUUGCGGGCAAGAAUGUCAUGCUGGACUGUGGAAUGCACAUGGGCUUCAAUGACGACCGACGCUUCCCUGACUUCUCCUACAUCACCCAGAACGGCCGCCUAACAGACUUCCUGGACUGCGUGAUCAUUAGCUCCACUCAGCCUGUCCUGACUGCCUGAAAAGCCAGCGGCUCCCCUAUGCGCGGUUCCCUCAGCAGCUUUGCAUUGUCUCGCGAGCGCGUCGCCGCGGUUCCCUUAGCAGCUUUGCAUUGUCUCGCGAGCAUGUCGCCGUCACCGACGUGUUCAAUUUCCCGUUUGCUUAUUGCCUUGCUAGACUUUGAGACUGAAAGUUCCAGGGAGACAGUUUUGUGUUUGCUCAUUACUGACUCUUCGGUACUCGGGAUGGGGCCUGGUGCACAGCAGGCGAAUGAAGGGGCCAGUGACCCACAAGCCCAGAGCGCGGGUGAAGGCUGGGGCAGGGUGGGCCCAGGCUGACCUGUGCUGCAUCCCCCUAGCCACUUCCACCUGGACCACUGCGGGGCACUCCCCUACUUCAGCGAGAUGGUGGGCUACGACGGGCCCAUCUACAUGACUCACCCCACCCAGGCCAUCUGCCCCAUCUUGCUGGAGGACUACCGCAAGAUCGCCGUAGACAAGAA
rnacentral:sRNA from 1 species